rnacentral:rRNA from 1 species
GAUGAACGCUGGCGGCGUGCCUAAUACAUGCAAGUCGAGCGAACGGACGAGAAGCUUGCUUCUCUGAUGUUAGCGGCGGACGGGUGAGUAACACGUGGAUAACCUACCUAUAAGACUGGGAUAACUUCGGGAAACCGGAGCUAAUACCGGAUAAUAUUUUGAACCGCAUGGUUCAAAAGUGAAAGACGGUCUUGCUGUCACUUAUAGAUGGAUCCGCGCUGCAUUAGCUAGUUGGUAAGGUAACGGCUUACCAAGGCAACGAUGCAUAGCCGACCUGAGAGGGUGAUCGGCCACACUGGAACUGAGACACGGUCCAGACCCCUACGGGAGGCAGCAGUAGGGAAUCUUCCGCAAUGGGCGAAAGCCUGACGGAGCAACGCCGCGUGAGUGAUGAAGGUCUUCGGAUCGUAAAACUCUGUUAUUAGGGAAGAACAUAUGUGUAAGUAACUGUGCACAUCUUGACGGUACCUAAUCAGAAAGCCACGGCUAACUACGUGCCAGCAGCCGCGGUAAUACGUAGGUGGCAAGCGUUAUCCGGAAUUAUUGGGCGUAAAGCGCGCGUAGGCGGUUUUUUAAGUCUGAUGUGAAAGCCCACGGCUCAACCGUGGAGGGUCAUUGGAAACUGGAAAACUUGAGUGCAGAAGAGGAAAGUGGAAUUCCAUGUGUAGCGGUGAAAUGCGCAGAGAUAUGGAGGAACACCAGUGGCGAAGGCGACUUUCUGGUCUGUAACUGACGCUGAUGUGCGAAAGCGUGGGGAUCAAACAGG